AUUUGAUCCUCGCCAAGUCGGGACUCUGGACCAUUCACGUUGGAUUCGAGCAGCGGAUGCUGAAUUCUUGGGAGGGUCGUCAUCGAUUGGAGGCUCGGAUGAGGCUUCGUGCAUUGAGGAAAAUGGGUAUUCUCGAGACAUUCUGACUACGGUGCACAGAAGUAGAGCUGACUGUCCACAGCCUGAGGUUUAAAGUUGUUGAACCCUUGUGCAAUCUUAUUUUCGCCACAUGUUGACUUUGGAAUAAAAGUACUUGGUGCAAAUGCUAUGUCCAUUCCUGGCCUAUAUGGGUUUGUCCAGAAAUAUCCGCUGCCUGAAGUGCAAAGCUGAGGGACCAAAGAAGUUAGGAUGAAGUGAUAUUGAAAUGAAGAAAGGUGAUUGGAAUUAUCCAAAGUGGGUCAAUUUUUCUCAAAAGUAAGCUGGGAUUGAUCUUUGUGAUUUUAUUUUCAAUUUCUAUUGAUUGGUCGAUGACAUAUACAUAAAGUAUUGCAUUUUUUGUUGAUUUUCUGAUGAUCUUUCGAAGUUCUUCUUUCAUGUUGUUUCUUCAAUUUCUUCUAUUACUGAUUCCACAGUAUACUCCAAUACUUUUUUUUUUCAAGUAUUGUUCCAAUAUAUGUAUAUAUGAGUUGGCAUGUUGUAUUGGCUUCUUUUAUUGUAUAUACUACUAGUAUGUGGCCAUCAUUAUUUUGUCUAUAAGUUUGAAUCACCAAAAUACAUGUUUCUCUCAGCAAGGGUGUAAAGCAUGGGUAUCUCUCUCUCUCUCUCUCUCUCUCUAUUUAUAUAUCUACUUUCACUACUCUCUUCCUCACCAAAGAAACGAAUUUGAUUUGUUGAUUUGUGUCUUUUAAUUUUAGUCUUUACUGGUCUAUUUGGCAUGAGACUGUCUAGAGACCAAAAAUCUCUUUUGGGAGUGCUUGGAUGAGAUUUUGAAAGUAUUUUAUUUGUUUGGAUGGUUUUUCUAAGUAAGCAGGUUCUGCUUGGAUGAGAUUUUGAAAGUAUAAUAUCUCUCAGGUGUCCUUUUUCAUUUCCCUUUAUACCAUAUUUUUGCUUUCUAUCUGUUUUCCAUUUUGGUGAUUUACCAUAAAAAAAAAAUUAGCUUGGUAGAUCUGUUCUCUUAUAUGAAACUGUAAGAUUAGCAAGAGAAUUUUAUCUAUUGGUAGAUCUGUUAGCAAAAAAAUUAGCUUGGUAGAUCUGUUCAUAUCUGUUCUCUUAUUGUGAUUACAUGGGUUUUUAGACCUGAAACAGUAGAGAACCUCUCUUUCUUGUUUUGUUGCAUACAUACACACCACUUCAAGAUCACACUUUCUGAUUAAGCACAAAACUCAUAACACAAUAAAUAUGGUUACUAAAAUAGAUAUGAAAAAUCAAACAUGUAGAUUUGUUUUACAUACUAAUUUCCUUCCUCUUCUUAACUAAAGAUUUGUGUUUGUCAAACGUUUUGAUAAGGCAUUUCAGAUUUUGUUUGGUUAUGAAUUCUCAUUUUAGCUCACAGAUUCAAGAAACACCACACAAGAGACAUUAUAAGUUCAUAGUUCAAAGCUUUAAGCAUUGAAGAAUAUAUUUUUCUUCUUAUUAUUCUCAGUUUUCAUAUCCACCACGACAUCAUUUUCUUUGCUCUUUUAACUGUUAACUGAAAUAUAUUCAAUAGGACCCUAUUAAUAAUCACUAUUCUCUGCCAUGUUUGUAGAGGUAAGUUAUGCCAAAUCAAAAGUUACGUUAGAGCAGAAAAGUUGUGAUGAUACAUUUCUUGUUACCUAAUUACAAAAUAACUUGGGGAUUGAUUGCAUAGUAAGUAAUUGUGAUAAAUUACCGGCGAUAAAUUUUAUCUGUAAAAGUAUUCUGUUUUAUCGGUGAUAGAUUUUGUGAAUAUAUUAACUGUUCUAUUAUCACAUUUUUCUAGUAUGCACUUUCUAGAUUAGUAACAGUUGAAUUUACUUUCAGGGUUAUGGUGUUGUUCUUGUUAACACUGAUGAGGCAGGGACACUGUUAGUAACCAAUUAUCGACUUAUUUUUCUGAGUGAAGGAACUAGGAAUAUCAUUUCUCUUGGUA